rnacentral:rRNA from 1 species
GACGAACGCUGGCGGCGUGCCUAAUACAUGCAAGUCGAACGCAGUGGGGACGGGUGAGUAACACGUGGGUAACCUCCCAUCAGAGGGGAUAACCCUUGGAAACAGGUGCUAAACUGAUACUGAUGGAUGUACCCGCGGUGCAUGAGCUAGUUGGUGGGGUAACGGCUCACAAAGGCCACGAUGCAUAGCCGGACGGAGAGGGGGAUCGGCCACACUGGAACGGAGCCACGGCCCAGACGCAGACGGGAGGCAUCAGUAGGGAAUCUUCGGCAAUGGACGAAAGUCUGACCGAGCAACGCCGCGUGAGUGAAGAAGGUUUUCGGAUCGUAAAACUCUGUUGGUAGAGAGGCGGUAUCUAACCAGAAAGCCACGGCUAACUACGUGCCAGCAGCCGCGGUAAUAC